AACGAACGCUGGCGGCAGGCUUAACACAUGCAAGUCGAACGCCCCGCAAGGGGAGUGGCAGACGGGUGAGUAACGCGUGGGAAUCUACCCAGAUCUUCGGAACAACUGAGGGAAACUUCAGCUAAUACCGGAUACGCCCUACGGGGGAAAGAUUUAUCGGUUCUGGAUGAGCCCGCGUUGGAUUAGCUAGUUGGUGAGGUAACGGCUCACCAAGGCGACGAUCCAUAGCUGGUCUGAGAGGAUGAUCAGCCACACUGGGACUGAGACACGGCCCAGACUCCUACGGGAGGCAGCAGUGGGGAAUAUUGGACAAUGGGCGAAAGCCUGAUCCAGCCAUGCCGCGUGAGUGAUGAAGGCCUUAGGGUUGUAAAGCUCUUACAGUGGGGAAGAUAAUGACGGUACCCACAGAAGAGGCCCCGGCUAACUUCGUGCCAGCCGCCGCGGUAACAC
rnacentral:rRNA from 1 species